rnacentral:rRNA from 1 species
GACGAACGCUUGCGGCGUGCUUAACACAUGCAAGUCGAACGGAAAGGCCCUGCUUUUGUGGGGUGCUCGAGUGGCGAACGGGUGAGUAACACGUGAGUAACCUGCCCUUGACUUUGGGAUAACUUCAGGAAACUGGGGCUAAUACCGGAUAGGAGCUCCUGCUGCAUGGUGGGGGUUGGAAAGUUUCGGCGGUUGGGGAUGGACUCGCGGCUUAUCAGCUUGUUGGUGGGGUAGUGGCUUACCAAGGCUUUGACGGGUAGCCGGCCUGAGAGGGUGACCGGCCACAUUGGGACUGAGAUACGGCCCAGACUCCUACGGGAGGCAGCAGUGGGGAAUAUUGCACAAUGGGCGGAAGCCUGAUGCAGCAACGCCGCGUGCGGGAUGACGGCCUUCGGGUUGUAAACCGCUUUCGCCUGUGACGAAGCGUGAGUGACGGUAAUGGGUAAAGAAGCACCGGCUAACUACGUGCCAGCAGCCGCGGUGAUACGUAGGGUGCGAGCGUUGUCCGGAUUUAUUGGGCGUAAAGGGCUCGUAGGUGGUUGAUCGCGUCGGAAGUGUAAUCUUGGGGCUUAACCCUGAGCGUGCUUUCGAUACGGGUUGACUUGAGGAAGGUAGGGGAGAAUGGAAUUCCUGGUGGAGCGGUGGAAUGCGCAGAUAUCAGGAGGAACACCAGUGGCGAAGGCGGUUCUCUGGGCCUUUCCUGACGCUGAGGAGCGAAAGCGUGGGGAGCGAACAGGCUUAGAUACCCUGGUAGUCCACGCUGUAAACGGUGGGUACUAGGUGUGGGGUCCAUUCCACGGGUUCCGUGCCGUAGCUAACGCUUUAAGUACCCCGCCUGGGGAGUACGGCCGCGAGGCUAAAACUCAAAGGAAUUGACGGGGCCCCGCACAAGCGGCGGAGCAUGCGGAUUAAUUCGAUGCAACGCGUAGAACCUUACCUGGGUUUGACAUGGAUCGGGAGUGCUCAGAGAUGGGUGUGCCUCUUUUGGGGUCGGUUCACAGGUGGUGCAUGGCUGUCGUCAGCUCGUGUCGUGAGAUGUUGGGUUAAGUCCCGCAACGAGCGCAACCCUUGUUCACUGUUGCCAGCACGUUAUGGUGGGGACUCAGUGGAGACCGCCGGGGUCAACUCGGAGGAAGGUGGGGAUGACGUCAAGUCAUCAUGCCCCUUAUGUCCAGGGCUUCACGCAUGCUACAAUGGCUGGUACAGAGAGUGGCGAGCCUGUGAGGGUGAGCGAAUCUCGGAAAGCCGGUCUCAGUUCGGAUUGGGGUCUGCAACUCGACCUCAUGAAGUCGGAGUCGCUAGUAAUCGCAGAUCAGCAACGCUGCGGUGAAUACGUUCCCGGGGCU